GACGAACGCCGGCGGCGUGCUUAACACAUGCAAGUCGAACGGAAAGGCUCCAGCUUGCUGGAGUACUCGAGUGGCGAACGGGUGAGUAACACGUGGGUAAUCUGCCCUGCACUCUGGGAUAAGCCUGGGAAACUGGGUCUAAUACUGGAUAUGACCUUUCUCCUUAUGGGGUUUGGUGGAAAGUUUUUCGGUGUAGGAUGAGCCCGCGGCCUAUCAGCUUGUUGGUGGGGUGAUGGCCUACCAAGGCGACGACGGGUAGCCGGCCUGAGAGGGUGAUCGGCCACAUUGGGACUGAGAUACGGCCCAGACUCCUACGGGAGGCAGCAGUGGGGAAUAUUGCACAAUGGGCGGAAGCCUGAUGCAGCGACGCCGCGUGAGGGAUGACGGCCUUCGGGUUGUAAACCUCUUUCAGCAGGGACGAAGCGUAAGUGACGGUACCUGCAGAAGAAGCACCGGCUAACUAUGUG
rnacentral:rRNA from 1 species